CUGAGCGGAAGUCGGACGCUCAAUGACUGAGCCACCCGGGCGCCCCAGGAGCUGCGUGAUUUUGAACAGAUUCCCUAAUCUCUCACAGUCUCAGUUUCCUCAGGUGUAAAACAAGAUGGCAAUAUUGGAGAAGGUGAGAAGAGGCUCAUGAAGGUUAAGCGAACGAAUGUGUAUCAAGUUCUACUAGGCGUGAUGCCUCGCGGUCAAAAACGGAGCGCCGCCGCGGCAGCCACGAUUCGUGCAACACGGAGCACAAGUUCAUUGCUGUGCAAGCAGCUUUACAGAGCUCGUCUUCACUGAAACCCUGUGAGGGUGGAAUCAUGACACCCAUUUUGCAGAUGGGGAAACUGACGCUCGGAGAGGUCCAAUAACUUGCUAAGGUUAUGCAACCGGUAAGUGGAAGGGGCAGGACUAAAUUAACAGCGCUCUGUGACCCUGGAUCCCAUCUGCCAAACCUCUCGAUCUUAAGCUCUCCUCGUGGGGAAGAAGUCCCAACUCUUGAUCCUUCUUUGGAGGAGAACCAGGGUGACAGGUCGAGAUUCGGGCCUGCCGGUUCUUUCAAAAUGGAGCCCAAAUGAUCCGCAGGGCUCCAGCCAUUGGUUUUUGAUCCCUGGAUGCUCUCCCCGGGGCCCCCCUUGUUUAUGGACCUCGGCUGCAAUAUCACUUCUGUAAGAAGGCCUUCCCUGAGCCCACAGACUGGACCAGACGUACUCAACACAUUCGCACAAAGUCCUCUCCUUUGUAAUCGCUCUCCGUUUGACCAUUAUGUACAGUGGUUCUCAUCUGGGGGCAAUUUUGUCUCCCAGGGAAAAUAUGUCUGUGUCUGGGGACAUUCGCGGUGGGUGCAGCUGGACACGGGGUGCUAAUACCAGGAUUCUAUCACGGAGGGCUGCUAAACAUCCUCCAACACACAGGGCGGCCCCCGCAGCAAAAAUUAUCUGCCCCCAAAUGUCAAUUGUACCAAGGUUGAGAAACCCCAUCCUGUAACUACUUACGUUUUUUAGGAUACAAAUGAGAUCACAUGUGUACGUAUGCUUCGUAUCACUUGUGUUUUCAAGUCAAGAAAUAAUUCUGCACUUUCUCUAAUAUUACUAGUUCCCUUCUAGUGUGUUGGUACAUACAGGGGAGAAAGAAUAAUUUCAUGCCAGCAUGUAAUUUUCUUCUCUCCUCCCUUCCUCCCUCCUUCCCUUUCUCUCUCUAACUCUCUCUCUCUCUCUCUCUCUUCCUUUCCUUCCAUAGACAUCACUAUCAUGAACAUCUCUGUGGCUCACUCUUUACACACCUCCCUGACGACUUCUUCAAAAUCAAUUUGGCCCUAACUGCUUUGGAAAUCACUUUGUGUCACUGAAUGUAACUGAGAUUACAUGGCCAAUAGCAAACCACAAACACUUCAAGCAAAAAAAUGCAAGUGUCUGCUCUCUCCUAAUAACCCUGACAGGAGAGCCAAGGUUCUAAGAGAAGCAAGGCAGUACAGCCAAUUCUCACUAGAGACAUGGUUUUCACAUUGUCUAAACCUGCUGGGGCAGGCCAGCCUUUGGCAGGGAGUAACUUUAUAAUCUCUUUGGCCAGAGACUUCCGAAAAUCCUAAACUUCUUUUUGAGUUUCCAGUGAAGAUUCUUGACAUUCACAGAGAGUUAAAGAAGAAAAAGACGUGCUCGGGGACAAAUUAAAAGAGCAAAUGCCAACUGUCUGGAAGUCAUCUUUUCUGUGUGUGUGGAAGGUGGGGAGCCAGUCAAAGCCCUAAGUAAACAGCCGACAGAGACAAAAGACAAGGUGUUUUCUUUUCGGAGCACUGGAAAUUCAGGAACAACUUGCGUCAGAUUUUGCAACCUUCGCAAGAGUUUGGGUAUCGUAACAUAAUAACCUUACUCCUGGAACGGAUGCAAAACCAAUUACCAGGUUUCUUGGACUGAAAGCCAAAAGUGGCCAUGGAAUCAGCUCACACCAGGUUAGGUUUGGGGGACUAGAAGGGAGAGAACUAGGGUUGGAAUGAACGUUUUGGAGACAUCGGGGUAUAUUUGUAAAGAUACCAAAAUCAUUCCCUCUGUCAACUCAGACAAAAGCUUGGCUCUCUGGUGACACGUUGAACUUGAAUUAUUCUCCAGGUGAGCACGGGACAAAGGCAAAAAGGGAGGAAGGAUGUGUUCCGGUGAAAUAAGGAAUAUACCAUGUAAGUGUGCAAGGUGAUUGCUCGCAUCAGGCUCUCAGGACAUAAAGGGGAAGAAGCCACCCAACCCAAAGGUUCCUUGGACGGAAAGCCAAAACUGGCCACGGCCAACAUCAUUUGCUCACUUUGUGCCUCUGUGUCUCAGAGUAUCUCAGACCUUUUCAUUAUCAUCACCUUUGUUAUGAAGAUCCAUGCUCAGUGAUGAGGACUCCCCGAAAACUCAGAUGAUGGCUGACAACUUUCAGCCAUGAACUAGUUUGGAAUCAAGGCCUUUACAGUGUUGUUUCAGACCGAACGCUACUGCACGCUUAACAGACCGGUACUGUGUCAACACAACUUUAAAAAAAAAUUU